CCUUUAAGGCUCACCUUAUAUCCAGCAAAUGCCAUAGCUUCUUGUUUGCGGGAGAAGUAUGUGGACAAAAAGAAGGCAACGAGAUCUCUUAUGCUGGAUGAAAAAAUCUAAUUUACUUUUGGAAUAAAGUGGGAUCCACUCUCCAAACCACCAUGUCUUUAUGAAAGAUGCAGCAAGAUGGAUCAAGUGACAAAGCUUCAAAAGCCCUUCUUUCUGAAGUGAUAGCGAUCAAAAAGGUCUUUUUGAUAAACAAGUAAUACAAUGAAACUGAUUUUAUAGAUUCAAAGGGUGCCGGCAGUAAAGCAUUGAGCUCAAUGUCAAAUUACAAGAUGGAGCUCUGUGCAUCUUAGGGGGGUUCAAUAGUUACACUCCUCUAAUGAAGCAACAAUUGUUCUUAUGGUAGGAAAUGGAAGAUUUUCUGGAUAUCCUCAAAAUUGCAGAUAGUACAGAAACGUGUUUUUUCCAGGCAUUAGCCUGCAAUCUGAUACGGAUUCUUAUUAAACCUUUAGAACAUGAGACACUUUGCCUACAUGAUACUGAUACAUCUCUCCCUACACCAAGCUUUGAAUUUAGCCCUGUUUGUUGAUUUUCUCUUCAAUGCUAACAGAGUUGGAAGAUGACCAGUGGAGUAACCAUUUUGUUCAAGAAACUUCCUUUCAAAAACUAAGUUUCAAGAUUUAACUUGCUUGGAUCCUGGUGGAAAAAACUGGACCCUGGGACAACAAAUCUGGACUCUGAUUCAAGAACAAUGGUGGCUCCACUGAUAUGUUCAUGAGGUCAGGAAACCAAGGCCUACUUGGGCAAUGGCGGGGGGGCACUAAGAUCACUUCCUCAUCCAUCUUCUUUCUGAUCUUCUGCAUUACCCUAGUGAUCCUGGGGGGAAAGCAUAAAGUAAGCCUUUUGGCCAUUUGAGCAACAGGACAUCUAUGCCUAGGGCUGCUGGGGGCAGAGGCUCCUUUUUUUUGCAAAGUAUUGGUGAAUCUUCUGGUUUGCCUUGGAUGCAAAAAUAACCAGAAUCAUAACUCUGAAUUUUUUGAUGAUCAAAAGAAUGAUUUGCUGUGAAGACUCCAUUCUUUGAUUGAUUUUCCUGCUGCUCAGCCAGUCAGCUUUCACAUUUUUACUGCCCUUGACAUGCAAGGCCCUGAUAGACUAGGUGGGCUUCUGCCCACUGCAUCAUGGAGAUCCCAUGAGCCCUUACCAGACUGAUGGUUUGUGUACACCAUUGCCAAUGUAUUCUGUCAUUACCAGAAUAUGACUGUUUGGCAAUGCUGGGGCCAGUUGUUGAAAAGCAUACUUUAUUGCCCUCAGCAAUAACUUUGUCUUUCUUUUGCUCUGAGAACAACUGUGUCCCUUGAGCCACUAAGUUCUUGGAGAACACUCCCCAUCCUUCCAGACUGGCAUCUGUUGUUACAAUGACCUCUCUGGCUCUUCCAUGGCCAUCCCUCCCUGGAAUCUCUUUGGACUCAUCCACCAAGCCAAGGAUUUCAAGGCAAGUGAUGGAAUGUUCACUUUCCGAGAUGGAAACAUCAGAAAAUGGUGGUGAAAAAAGAGCAGGAAACUCUAGAACAGGGGUCUCAAAGUCCAGGCCCACUGGCUGGCAAAGAAUUGUAUAAAGUUGUAUGGACAGUUUUAUUAUUUCUAAGAAAUUCAAAAUAAAAAAUACAAAAUAAACAUUUUCUUUUCUGAACACCAUCUUCAGUGAUAUUAUUGGCCCGCUGGGAGGACUUGAGGACUGGCACUGGCCCUAAGGUAAAUUGAGUUUGAGACCCCUGCUCUAGAGAGUCCUCAUAUAAAUUCUUACCCAAGGCAUUACACCUAUGUAGGAUACAAUCAUUUCUAGAAUACUUGUUACUAUCAUCCUUAGGCACUUCCUGAGCUGCUGAUCUGAUUUUGUCCCAUCUUUUGGCUGGCGGAAAGAUUUUGUGGCUCUUUGCAUCGAUGUCUGAAUUGUUGACUGAGUUGCUUGAGUGGAUUCUCUUUGGAUGGGGCUCUAACCAAAAUGUCAGCCAGGAAAAGAUAUACCUGUAUCUCCUCCUGCCUGAGAAAAGCCUCCAGAACAACAAGGUCUUUUGUGAACACUUGAGGUAUGGAUGACUUUCUGAAAGGCAGCACUUUGUAUUGAAAAUGAUCAGUUCCAUGUGCGAAUUAUAGAACUCUCCUGGGCACCUGGUGAAUUGACCCAUGAAUGUAGGCCUUACCUUACAUCAGUCAGUUUGAGAACACCAGUGGCAGAUCGCCACUGCUAUGAACUUCAAGUUCUCCAUCUGAAAAGCUAGUUCUCCUUAUGAACUUAUUCAGAUGCUUUAAGUCCAACACCACUCUAUCCUCCUUGGAUCUCUUGAGUACCAGAAACAAGACCAAGUAGUGGCUGGAGUACAACUCCAGCUAGGGAACUCUCUCCAUCAUGCUGAUUCAGAAAACAUGUUCUAUGGCCUUUAGCAUAUUUCACCUCUUUUGUGGGUUUCAGGAUACCAGAGAAAGGAGAAUACAGUGAUUUGGAAUCUUGGAAAAUUCUAGGAUAUACCCUUGUAGAACCCUAUCAAGGACUUUUCUGUCCAAUGAGUAGAGAGGCCACUGGGUCUUGAAUUUUAAUAGUCUCCCACAUAGGUGUUGCUCAUCAGAACUCACCUGAACAUAGUCAAGCAUUGUUUCUAGUGUUUAAAUGUGCAUUGCAGAAAGACUGGUCUCUCCCCUUUCUGGGCUUAGACAUGUUCUAUUUGCUUUUAUUAUAGUGUAGCCUUCCAUACUUACAGGAGCAGCCACGAAAAGAAUAUUUAGAUCUGUAAUAAGAUCAGCUAUCCCUUUUCCUGGAUUUGGAGUUGGGAGGGGCGGGGGUUUGUAAGGUUGGGAUUUUUUUGCUUUUGUUAUUUACCUGAGGAUUACACCACCACUUUGUUACUGACCUCCUGAAUAUUUUGAAGCCACUAUCAUGAUUUUGACCUUAUAUUGCCCUUCCAGGCAUUGUAACCAGAUGCACCAUCUGGUCACCACACUGGAGGCCAUGGCAUGUGCUGAAAACAUCAAAACAUCUCUGGUUGCACUGGCUAUGAAUACUGAAGCCAUUGAGAUUUUUUUAAAACUCUGAACCUAAACAAAAUGAUUUCUUAGCCUUUUUUGGCAGUCUGGCUGCCAAACUGUCAGUCCAGGACAGUAGUAUUUUUGCAAAAUAUUAGGCCAGAGUUGAAGGCUUCAGAGAGGAAGAUUUAGCCUCAAACAUAUGGCACUGUGAUAUUUCCAUUUGGUUGCUGUUGGAUUCUUUUGGGAAAGAUCCCCUUCUGUUGGGAGAGCAAUAUCUUUGACUAAUGUGAAAUGGCCCCAUCCACUUUGGGAAGACACACAAAAUCUGCUUUGCUGUGGUGCACAUUGUAGAAUAUUUGGACAUGUCUGGACAAUCCAUAGACUCUUCUGGUAUCUCCCAUUUGGACUUAAUUACUCUUUCCAAAAAGACACGGAGGAGAAUGUGUGAUUCAGAUUUUUUCAACCGGUUGGAAAAUAUUUCUUUCUUUGUAAUUUCUGUACCAACUCUCUCUUCUUCUUCCUUAAGAUCUUUUUUUAAUGGUUUCAUUUGAUGGCAUACUCAAGUAUCCAAUCACCUUUCAGAACAUCUUUUCAAAUGGUUCAGUUGGGAAAAGAUUCUUGUUUUGCUUCAUCCUGCAAUUCAGACUCUGAGAUUGAGAAUUCACACUCCUACUAUGAAGAAGAUCCUGAUUUUACCCUGGACUUCUUUUUUCCUCUCUUGGACUUAGACGUUCUAGCCUUCUUUUUCUUUGGUGAGGCCCAUGAAGAUGAGGAGGAAAAUGAAUUCAUGAUGAAGAUGAAGAACCAGACACAGACAAUUCUAUUCCUUUUAUUAUGUUUUUUUUCUUUCCACUGGGUAACAAUGCAGCAUAUAGAGGAAACUAAGGCACACACAGGAAUUCAUAACUUCAUCACAGCCUUUAAGGGAGACACUGCAGCUGCUGCCUAAGGCUCACAGUGUGGCAGCCUCUGAGAGAAAGGUGCUUUUUGUGCCAAAUCCAAGAGCUCCUAGCCCAAGAGGGAAUUUCUUUCUGAAGGGGAGAUUCCCUUCUUUCCCCCAGCAAUGCAUAAUUCCUGACUUCCCCUGGGACUAAGGGAAGGAAACUGAGUUGCAUGGCAAGGAAAGGGGUGAGGAGAGGAUGAUGAGACCCACACUGAGGGAGGGCAUGUGCCCAAAAUGGUCUUACCUGCUGCUUCUUGCUCUGUCUAGGGUGCAUUCAGCUGGUCCAGCUUAUGUUUUCCCUGUGCCCUUUGAUGUAACCACCUCCGAUGGCCAAAGGGCUCUCCUUAUUUUUCUGCCAUCCUUUGAGAUGUUUGUGGCCUGACUCCUGCUGGCGGGGAGUGUCUGGGGAACUGGCUCCUAGAUUUGAGUAAGGCAGUCAAGGCUAAACCUUUCUGACCAGGCAGAUGAGGUGGCUGGAGUGCACAAGACACAAACCUCUCUUUUUUGCACCCUCUGGCAGGGAUACAGAGCUAGAAGAAAGCAAAUACGCCUCUUCAGGGUUUUUUUUUAAUUUUCUCUCUUGCAGGAGGUGCUGGAUUCACUGUCCUGCCAGUAGCUACAAGAGGUAGAACAAAACUGAGGAGGUCUCCAGAAGGUGGGGUCUAGUCCCUUGUCAGCCAUCCACUCAGCUUUGAUUCUGCCUCUACAGCUAUAGAAAGGUGACGAACCACACUGAGGAUUUAUGAACUUAGCCCUGAGAGAGAUAAUGCUGUCCUUGGGAGCCAAAAAAUCCUACCGCGUUAUAGGUGAAACCGCGUUAUAUCAAACUUGCUUUGAUCCACCGCAGCCCUCUGGCAACUGUGAUCAGAUGAACAUUUUGUUCUUCAUAUGGAGCAUCAAGUUUCUGGAGCUUGAGCUGCCCUGGCAUGAAUUCUUGAAGUGAAGGCACUAAUGUCUGGUCACUUAAACCUUCUUAUUGGCUUUAACAGCAAAAUACAGUUGGGUUUGUGAGCAACACUCUGGCUGUGUUUAGUAGCAGAGGAGACUUCAGAAAUGGCCACAGAAUUUGAAUGAGGUGCCGUACUUUCCAGUUAUAUUGUGCCCUGUCCCUGUGUGGGUUGGACCUGGUAGAGUAAGGAGCCACUGUUAGAUCACAAGCAGCCUGCUGGUAACUGGAAGCCACCACACUCCAGGAAAAAGUGAUCAAGGGAAGAGACAAUUUGUUCCUGCUCUUUGGGCAAUGACAGUGUUACCUCUGAAUAACAUGGAUAAAGGUUGCCUCUCGAGGAGGGAUUAGUCUGAGUACAUUUAGUGGGACUGGACUGGAUACAUUGCAGACUACUCCAAAAUCUACCCAGUAAGGUUAAAAGCAGACUGCAUGAGGUCACAACUCCAGGAGAGAGAGAGAGAGAGAGAUCUCUGAGGUUCUUAUAAUCUGCCCUUCAGUGUGGUAUCUCUGUGUCUACUGCACCUCUGGCAUGCUGCCCUCCAUGUUGCAAGGCAAGAGAGAGUUCUCAAAUGAAUGAGUGAAAGAAGGUGAAGAAGGAAUACAUUCCUCACUGGCUUGCUAUUUUAAAUCUAUUUCUUGUUUCUUAGUAAUACCCUGAAUGUCUUUCAAGUGAGACCCUGACUCUGCUUUUGGGAGGAGUUAGAGAGACAAGGUAGGUAAGGUAAUAUCUUUUAUUGGAUCAACUUCUGUUGGUGAGCGAGUCUAGCUUAUGAGCUACACAGAACUCUUCCUCAGGUCUGGGAAAGGUACUCAGAGUGUCAUAGCUAAAUAUAAGAUUGAACAGAUAAUUUGGCAUAUGUAGUUAGCACAUAUUCUAAGGGGCCAGGAAGAGUUCUGUGUAGCUUGAAAGCUUGUCUCUCUCACCAACAGAAGUUGGUUCAACCCACCUUGUCUUUCUAAUAUCCUGGGACCAACAUGGCUACAACACCACUGCACACAACUUUGGGAGAACUUGUGAAUUAAAGAGAGACUUUGCUUUAUACAACAGCAUGUAUGUUGGGUUUUGUAUCUUUAUGAAUGAUCUGGGUGGCAAAGAGCUCAAGUCUCCAUGUUGUAUUUAAUGCUUAUUGAAGAAAGCAGGAGUGAGUCAAGCAGUACACACUCGAGGACACCUAUAGAUAGUUUACAGAAUGAAGUAGGAGCCUACUGAUGGAAGAACUAGUUCAGUUUGCUAGCUGGAUAAAGAAGGAAUACAUUUAAUACUAUUGACUGCUUGCUGACUUCAACCAAAUUAAAACACCAUGACCUCAAUCUGUAUUCCUUCCAAUAACAAUUCCAACCUUUUUUGCUGCCUAUAUUAUAAUUCUUUUUGCAAACAGGAUGCAUGAGUUUAUUUGUUUGAAGGGCAUUUCCUUUCUGUAAACUCCUGAUAGAGGUAUUUGCCCUCAAAAUUCACUUGUCUUUUCAGGCCUCCUGGGCAUACAGCAGUUACUCUAAAUGUUCCCCUACCAAAAUAGAAUAGGUAUGAAAAAUGCACAAAGUUUAUUCUUUGUUGACCAAUCUGUCUCUAUCAUAACCAGCUGUCAGCAACUGUGAAAUCUAUUAAAAUACAAUAUUACAGGGUUAAAGAGGUAAAAGAAUCAUUUUAGCCAUACUAUUAAAAAAAUAGCAUUGAAAAUCACAUGAAAAAAUACAGAAUGUAAAAUUGUCUGUUGCCAUCCAGUAGAUGAGUGUUUGUAUAGUACCUCACCUCCUUCAAGUCCCUCUAAAAUUCCACUUCUUCCAAAAGGCCUAGGAACCUCUUUCUACCUACUCUCCACCUUCCUCCUUCACAGAGGUAUGAACUAAUAGGGGAGAAUGAAAACAACAAACACAAAUCCAACAAACUGAAGAAACUUUAAACAAAAUUGUGAAAUUAACAAGAAAUAUCCUUGAUUUCACUUUUCAUUCACACUUUUCUCUACCUUCCAUCUUCCUUUUUUGUCUGUUCAUUGUCUAAUUAGGGCACAAUACUAUAACUGUUACACAUACUGGCUAGUAGUUAUUCAUGUAAAUAACCCCAUUAAUAAUGGAAGGGCAACACAAUUACAAUGGAGUGCUCAAUGCUGGUGCUCAAACUAGUCUCCUUGAGAUGAAACACAAACAGUCCACUGGUCAGCAUCCAUUUUGAUGAUUAUUAAUAACAUUUAGACCUUUAUAUCUAGUGUACAUUUUCAAAGCACAUUAAUAAUGGUAUAUAUUUUAUUUUUAAGUUAACAGUAUGCCAGGCACUUUAUAGAAACACACAUACCAUCUAAAUGAAUGCAGCAUAAAUAACAUCAGACAGAUUGACAGACAAAAGAAAGACCCAUCUCUACUCUGAAAAGUUCAUACUCGAAGGACCUGAUUCUACAACCCUUGUGCACUUUGGAUAGUACUUACUCAUGUGAGUAGUUCAGUGGGAUAAAGGAGUCAGAUUCAUGGACUGUAGUACCUUUCAAAAGGUUUCUUUCAAAAAGUUUGUUUCUUUCUAAAUGUUUCUGUGGUUUUGUUAAAGAUUAGAAUGAGGAUAUGCUUUCUGCUGGCACCAAGGAGUUAGAAGGAAUGUAGUAUGUAAUAUGUAAGUCCAGAAGAAUUCUUUUGCUACUAAUUAAUUUCCAUUUGUUGUAAAGUAUUAAAAGAACUGAGUUCUGGUUGAUGAUAAAAUGUUUAUUUAAAGUUUUGUACUGAAUGUCAUGUUGGUAUUUGACCCUCAAGAGUGUUUGUUUUGAGGGACAAAAGUACAAAGAGAGUUUUUAGUGGAUGACUUCAGAUUUAGUAAAUCAAAUAUGAAACUAAGAAAAUAUGGUACCAAUGGAUUUGCAUAAUUUUAUGCUGAUCAAAGACCUCCUUCAUCUUUGGUAUGACUAAUAAGGAGGAAAGGAGUGGAAACAGCAGUUUAUUUAUUUAUGUAGACUUUAGGGGAAUUUGGCUGUGAUGCAGUCAUUUGGUAAAAGUAUGUAGGAGGCUGCAUUUCCACAAAUUUCAAUGAAAAGUGUGUAAGUAAACCAGGAAUGAGAGCAGCCAGACUCAGAACUAGAUGCACUGGGCAAUUUAGCUGAUACAAAGUAAUGGCCCAAACUUGUUGGGUUCUGAGCCCCUCCCACUCCCAUUUGACAUUUAUGGGAGUGGAGUAUGCUCAGCACCUCAAAGGAUCAGGUUGCACAUAUAUUUCAGAUUAUUUCUGCAACAUAAAAACGUGGGUUGGGUACAGAGAAUUUUAACUAUGUUAAAUUUAUAAUUAGAGUUUAGCAAAUCAAUCAUAAUGAGUAAUUUAUUUGGAGAAUUUAGUUUCUUUUUCUGCUUGCAGACAUCUGCAAGGAGAUGAUGAUCCUCUCAGUUCCAUUCAAUGCUCACAGUUUUUUAUAAACACCUUCUCACAUUUUUUACUCUAUGAAUCAAUUGUGAAAAUUCAAAAUUCAAGAGGUUCUGCUUCAUUGUGAUUGGUCAAAUAGGUCACAUGGCAUUGUUUCUAUUCCUUGAACAAGCAAAUACACAAGCACUUCUGACAGCAGUACUUAUGUAUGCAAGUUUUAAAAUUGGUUUCUGUGAUUAAUAACGUGCAACUUUGAAAUUCACUUUUCAGGUAUGUUCUUGCCAGUAAAACUUGAUUGUUCAAAUGUUUACAAAAAGCAGCAGUCCAUGAGAGAUGUGAACAAUGUACAAAUCAAUAUUUGUGGAUUUUCCCCCUUACUAAUUAAAAUCUUUGUAUAAUUUUUCAAAAA